GGCAACUUGGCCGAGCGGUCUAAGGCGCCAGACUCAAGUUUCCCAACAAAUGGUAACUUCCCUGUAAGCGGGGCGCAUUCUGGUCUCGAAAGAGGCGUGAGUUCGAAUCUCACAGUUGUCA
rnacentral:tRNA from 1 species